AAGAUACAGAAAUCAAAUUUCUGCUAGCAACAGGUAACAGUCCCUAAGUAUCCUGAGCAUAUCUGACAUACCUUCUGAAGGUCUGUCACCCUUCAUGUUCUUUAUGCUUCCCAUAUAUGUAGGACAGUUCCUCUUCCAAUGGAAACACUUUUCCUUGCAAUUGGCCUUUUUCUUGGAACUUCCUUGCUUGGCGUUUUCUCGGUCUUCUGCUUCUUCGCAGGCUUCUUCUUCUUCCAGGUAGACUCUUUAUUGGAAGUAGAAACCAACUCGACAGCAAGAACGAUGCCCCUGGAACUCUUCAAGAUCCCUAAGGUAGUUACCAAUUUAUUUAACAAUUCUAUUUUAGUGCAAACAAUCUUGUUCAUAUGGUAGUUUACUCUAAACUAUUCAUAUGAAGCUGAAAGGGAUUGCGGGAUCAAAUCCGUUUGCAAUUCCUUUUGCAUGGUCAUGCCGAGCUUCUCAAGCUCCUCUAAGUUCUUUAUCAUGG
rnacentral:lncRNA from 1 species